AGUGAACGCUGGCGGUAGGCCUAACACAUGCAAGUCGAACGGCAGCACAGUAAGAGCUUGCUCUUACGGGUGGCGAGUGGCGGACGGGUGAGGAAUACAUCGGAAUCUACUUUUUCGUGGGGGAUAACAUAGGGAAACUUACGCUAAUACCGCAUACGACCUACGGGUGAAAGCAGGGGAUCUUCGGACCUUGCGCGAUUGAAUGAGCCGAUGUCGGAUUAGCUAGUUGGCGGGGUAAAGGCCCACCAAGGCGACGAUCCGUAGCUGGUCUGAGAGGACGAUCAGCCACACUGGAACUGAGACACGGUCCAGACUCCUACGGGAGGCAGCAGUGGGGAAUAUUGGACAAUGGGCGCAAGCCUGAUCCAGCCAUACCGCGUGGGUGAAGAAGGCCUUCGGAUUGUAAAGCCCUUUUGUUGGGAAAGAAAAGCAGCAGGUUAAUACCCCGCUGUUCUGACGGUACCCAAAGAAUAAGCACCGGCUAACUUCGUG
rnacentral:rRNA from 1 species